rnacentral:rRNA from 1 species
GGCCCAGAUCGUUUACCGUGAAAAAAUUAGAGUGUUCAAAGCAGGCAGAUUCAAUUUUCUGCCACCGAAUACAUUAGCAUGGGAUAAUGGAAUAGGACCCUGUCCUCCUAUUUUCAGUUGGUUUUGGCAGCGCGAGGACUAGGGUAAUGAUUAAUAGGGAUAGUUGGGGGCAUUAAUAUUUAAUUGUCAGAGGUGAAAUUCUUGGAUUUAUGAAAGAUUAACUUCUGCGAAAGCAUCUGCCAAGGAUGUUUUCAUUAAUCAAGAACGAAAGUUAGGGGAUCGAAGACGAUCAGAUACCGUCGUAGUCUUAACCAUAAACGAUGCCGACCAGCGAUUAGGAGACGUUGAAUACAAAACACCACCAUCGGCGCGGUCGUCCUUGGCGUUCGUGUUCUCGCGACGAGCGCGAGGGCGGUUUAGCCCGAUGGCACCGGUGAAUGACUCCCCUAGCAGCUUGUGAGAA